rnacentral:rRNA from 1 species
AACGAACGCUGGCGGCAUGCCUAACACAUGCAAGUCGAACGAGACCUUCGGGUCUAGUGGCGCACGGGUGCGUAACGCGUGGGAACCUGCCCUUAGGGUCGGAAUAACUCCCCGAAAGGGGUGCUAAUACCGGAUAAUGUCUUCGGACCAAAGAUUUAUCGCCUUUGGAUGGGCCCGCGUUGGAUUAGCUAGUUGGUAGGGUAAAAGCCUACCAAGGCGACGAUCCAUAGCUGGUCUGAGAGGAUGAUCAGCCACACUGGGACUGAGACACGGCCCAGACUCCUACGGGAGGCAGCAGUGGGUAAUAUUGGAACAUGGGCGAAAGCCUGAUCCACCAAUGCCGCGUGAGUGCUGAAGGCCUUAGGGUUGUAAAGCUCUUUUACCCGGGAUGAUAAUGACAGUACCGGGAGAAUAAGCUCCGGCUAACUCCGUG